AAUCGUGUACUGGAAAAUGACAUAUUUGUGCCUGCACUAUGCCCAAGCGCGACGAUUCAUACCCGCCAUCAAUGAUGUCCGUAUCUUCUUCUAUUCAAUUAUUGUUAAACCCAAACCCCACCCAUUUCUGCCAAACCCCACACGUGUGUUUCUAGACCUAAUAUAUAAAUAUUUAUAUAUGUAUCUCCUUCUUCAAUACAAGCCGCGAUUGUUCCAAAAGCGUGAGAGGUAGUAACGCGCUCCGUAAAACCAUAUAGCACAAACUUCCUCCACUCGCUCAUGUUUCUGCUCUACUCGUAUUUCUUGACCUCAUGUGAAGGAAGAUUGGCCGCCGUUCAUAACCAACCGGCAACCGCCAUCAAUGAUGUUUGUAUCAGCUAUGUGUAUGAGAGGAGGAGCCUUGUGACGAGAGCUACCACAGUUGGCCUCGUUGUUGUGGUACACCUAGAGAUGGCGAAGAGGAGUUACUGGAUCCAUCACCAUUCCAUCGUAUGCGUUAAUGUGAGCAAAGCCGUGAGGGAGAGAAGACAACGAAUUGCAGUCACAGCUCUAUACCACCGGCUUAGAUAUAUACCGCGUUAGCCGUGAUCCAUGGGAGAAACAAAGUGUGUCACCGUGUCACCGGAGGGUUAUGCCGUGAUCACUGGAUAUCGUACCAACCACCGUCCCUUGUUAGCUAAGUGUUAUAUAUCUUCCUUUACUUGUGGUACAAGCAACACCAAUAGCAUAAGCCCUAAUCGUGUCAUGCCAUGCGCAUGAAGAAACGUGGAACUAUAUGUGCGAAUUAUUUGAUAAAUAAUUCAUGCUAAAGCCUAGACCGGGAGACAUAUUUGUUUCCGAUCUAGCUUCGAUUUUAGCUAAGGUGAGAGUUUUUUCCUGAACUUCUCUUACACGGCUUAGGACCUCGAAUAAGUAUAAUUUAGUUUUCUAAUGUGUUCCGUCUGUGUGAAAUCGAGUCUGUCAUUGCUUGUUUAGUUUUAGGUUCUUUGCUUAACCAGAACUAGGGUGUUAGAUGGUUCAACAGUGCUUGUCAUUUAUAACUGAUAAUAUAUACGUAUAUAGUAUAUUGAGGUGAUUACGACAUUAGCCGACCAUGGAGACGUAAUUCUGUGUGUCGGCCGGAGACCAGUAGAUUUGGUGUGGUGGAUGCUGUGCCACAGCUUAGUCGACCUGUUGUGACAAGGCUUCGAGGUCAAAAAUUUGUUUACGGGUGUGUGUUACCGAGCACAAAUUUGGUGGUGUUUUUAGCCUAUUAGUGGGCAGCGGGUGCACACCUCGCUAGAACUGUUGUUUGAUCUCUGGGUACUUUAGGUACCGUGUUUACAACGUGUUAGGAUUAAAUUAAAUUUAUUCGGAGUGCUAUGUCUGGGUCCAUGGACUUCAUGGACUUCGAGUUUAGUAUCUCAUACCUCAGUGAGUGACUCCGCUGUUAUUGACCCCUCUUUCUGCGCCAUUUCAGGUGAGACUGACGAAUAUAUGAUAUUUGGAUGGAUUGGUGCUAUUGGGCGUUUUAUUCGGAUUUUAUUUGGGCUUAGGGUGAGUGGAGUUGUGUAUAUGGGCUAUGUGUUAUGAGAUAUUGUUGGUGGCACGCUGUUCUCCAGAUACGAGGUGACGGGUGUCACAAUUUGGUAUCAGAGCCAGGUUCCGUCCCGGGAUGGCGAUUAGGGGAUUCGGUUUUUAACGUUUUCAAAAAAAUAAAAAAAUAUAUAUAUAUAAAAUAAUAAUAAUAAUAAUAAUAAUAAUAAUAAUAAUAAUAAUAAUAAUAAUAAUAAUAAUAAUAAUAAUAAUAAUAAUAAUAAUAAUAAUAAUAAUAAUAAUAAUAAUAAUAAUAAUAAUAAUAAUAAUAAUAAUAAUAAUAAUAAUAAUAAUAAUAAUAAUAAUAAUAAUAAUAAUAAUAAUAAUAAUAAUAAUAAUAAUAAUAAUAAGGGUAUAUGGGAAUUGUUUUAGCACCAUUCUGUCCAGUAGUUACUAACUCGAUUGUCUCUUUAUGACGAUGAGUAAAAAUCAUCGACAUUCAUCUUUCGGCUAUCAGAGGUCUUCCAGAUGUUCAGCAGAUGUGUGAUGUCGAAGUUUGUCACAUUACUCAGUGGUCUAUCGAUUUCUUCAGUCGUUAUUCUGAGUUUGUUCAGGAGUGGAUAUAUGACGUUUUUGCAACCACCCAAUUUCAAGACAUCAUUCCACGAGUUUCUGAUGCAUGAGUUUUUGUGAUAUGAUGUAUGAGCCAUAGAUUGGCAUGUGUUGUAUUUGUAUACAAGUUUAUAGACUAUUUUGGAUGUAUGCGUGGUCUGAAAACUUGUGGGGGAUCGCUUUUGGAUUGGAGGUGCGCCAGAUCGCGUUGUGUUGAUAUUGGAGGUUACGUUUGGUUUUGUUUGCCAAUUUUUGGCAGUGUUGAUCGUUUUAGAGAUGUGUCAAUUCAACAGCUAGCAUGGAACUUGGGAGCUAUUUAUAUUUGAGUUGUACCAGUUAUGCGUGGAGGAGUCGAGUUAUUCAGAGAUUCAUCAGAGAUUCAUCAGAGAUGGAGCUGGGUUUCUGCGAUGUCAUUCUUGGGACGGAUUGCCCGAGGGCAAGAGUUCUUAUUCCUGGAGCCGAUGAGAGUUUUUAUUGUCUGCAUACUACAUGCUGAGGAGUUAUUGGAUAUAGGAGUAAAUGGAUUUUUGGUGAUCAUUUCGAUGGUUAAGAACGAUGGUCAGCAUGAGUUGCAGGAUCUUCAAGUUAUUUCAGAGUAUGGAAAUGUAUUUGAGGCCUUUCGAAGGGCCGUCACCAGCCAGAGGAGACGUUCUUACGAUUGAGUUGGAGUCAGGGACGACAUUGGUUUCAAGAUUUUCUCUACCAAUUUGUGCCAGCAGAGAUGACCGAGUGGAAAGAGCAUAUGUAAGAACUAUCUAAUAAAGAUUUUAUCAGACCGAGUACUUCAUCGUGGAGAGCACCAGUAUUGUUUGUGAAGAAGAAAGAUGGGAGUUUCAGACUUUGUAUCAACUACAAAGGUCUGAACAAAGUGGCCAUUAAGGAUAAAUAUCGUUCCGCAUAUUGAUGAGUUGUUGGAUUACCUACAGGAGGUUCAUGGUUCUUGAAGGUUGACUUGGCAUCAGGAUACCACCAGAUUGCGAUAGAUGACAAGGAAGUGCGGAAGACAGCCUUACGUAUUAUGGACAUUAUGAGUUGCGAUGAUUUUAUUUGGGUUGAUGGACACACCAGUAGCAUUCAGGAAACCUAUGAAUGAUGUCCUUCGUGAGCACUUGGAUAAGUGCGCGAUUGUCUUCAUCGAUGACACCUUGAUUUAUUCUCAAAUCAGAGAGGAGCAUGAUGAGCAUUUACAGAUUGUGUUAGGUAAGCUUGGAAAGCAUCAGUUGUUGCUAGCCGAAUAAGUGUAGUUUUUGGUAGAGGAAUAAAAAAAUUGGAUGUUUGGGUCAUGUGGUUUCAGAAGCAAGAGUUGCUAUAGAUUCGAAAAAGAAUACUACACUUUAAGAGUGGUCGACGCCUAAAAUGUUCAGAGAUUUGAAGUAUUACUAUCAUUGGCCUUGUGUAAAAAAAAGUAUGCAGCUACAUGGUGUCGCAGUGUCAAAUAUGUCAGAUUAUUAUAGCUGGGUAUCAGGUACCUAGUAGGUUAUUGCAGAACCUGAUUUUGACAGAGUGGAAAUGGGGCAUGGAGACUAUAGAUUUUGUUAUUGGACGACCGACCACCUCAGGUGGGAAGAAUGCUAUUUGAUUGAUCAUGGAUAGACUCACUACGUCAUCUCAUUUCUUAGCGUUUAAGAAGACGGACACAACUGAGUAGUUGGAGAAGAUUUACAUCAGAAAGAAUGUGAGGUUACAUGGAGUUCUCGUCAGCAUUGUAUAGAUUAGGAUGCAAAAAAAGAUAAAUUAUCAUCAACAUUUGGGGAACCUUUCAGAAGGGAUUUGGGACAAAGGUUCAUAUGAGUCCAGCUUACCACCCGCAGUCAGAUGAACAGUUAGAGAAGAUGAUUCAAACUUUGGAAGUUAUGCUCAUGUUUUGUGUUUUGGAUUGGAAAGGGAGCUGGGGAAGUAUCUACCUCUAUCUUAGUUUGCCUAUGACAAUAGCUACCCAUUCCAUAUGGAUAUUGCACUGUAUGAGACUAGUUAUGGUAGGCAUUGUCGUACACCACCUUGUUGGCCAAAAAUGGGGGAGCGGCAUGUUAUAGAACCAACAAGGGUUAAAGAGACAAUAGAGAUGCGCAAGAUUCAGCUUAAGGAAACCCAUGAAAGUUAAACUAGUUAUGCAGAAGGCGUUGGAAGGAUUUAGAGUUUCAGGUGGGAAACUUGGUAUACCUGAAAAUGAAGAUAUUUUAGAAAGGAUCUAAAACUCGGAAGCUAGAGAUAAACCGAGAUAUAUGGAACCGUACCCCCUUUGUGGAGUGGAUUUGAGCAGUAGCUUUUAGAUUUCAGUUAUCAGCAAAGCUGUCAGGCUUUCAUGACGUAUUCCAUGUGAGUUUUAAGAAAUGUCGUGAGAGAACCAGAGCUCAUUUUUCAGCAGCCACCAAGUGAUCUCGGUAAAAAAAAAAUUGUCUGCACCUACCCAGCCAGUUGAGAUUAUAAAUCGGCAAGUAAAAGAGGUUCUGAGAAUGAUGACUAGGUUCGUCAAAGUUUGUCGAGAGACACACAAGAUCCAGGGGGUGACCGAGACUCAAAAGAAAUUGACUAUGCAGAGUUUCCUCAGGAUGCUAUUGGACAACCGGCUCAGGAUUUGAAUUCGAGGAUGAAUUAUGUAUUAGUGGGGGAGAAUUGUAACGACCCUAACCUGGUCUAAUUGAAUUAUUAUUUAGACUAAAUUGAAUGGUUUGGUUUUCAUCUAUUCUAUUCAAUUAUUGUUAAUCCCAAAUCCCACCCAUUUGUCCCAAACCCCACACGUGUGUUUCUAAACCUAAUAUAUAGAUAAAUAUAUGUAUCUCCUUCUUCAAUCCAAGCUGCCAUUGUUCCAAAAGCAUGAGAGGUAGUAACACGCUCCGUAAAACCAUAUAUCACGAACUUCCUCCACUUGCUCAUGUUUCUGCUCUACUCGUAUGUCUUGACCUCAUGUGAAGGAAGAUUGGCCGCCGUUCAUAACCAACCGGCAACCGCCAUCAAUGAUGUCUGUAUCAGUUAUGUGUAUGAGAGGAGGAGCCUUGUGGCGAGAGCUACCACUGUUGGUCUCGUUGUUGUGGUACACCAAGAGAUGGCGAAGAGGAGUUACUGGAUCCAUCACCAUUCCAUUGUAUGCGUUAAUGUGAGCAAAGCCGCGAGGGAGAGAAGACAACGAACUGGAGUCACCGAUCUACACCACCGGCUCCGAUCUAUACCGUGUUAGCCGUGAUCCAUGGGAGAAACAAGCCGUGUCACGGGAGGGUCAUGCCGUGAUCACUGGAGAUCGUACCAACCACCGUCCCUUGUUGGCUAAGUGUUAUAUUCCUUUAUUUGUGGUACAAGCAACAUAAAUAGCAUAAGCCCUAAUUGUGUCAUGCCAUGCGCAUGAAGAAACGUGGAACUAUAGGUGCGAAUUAUUUGAUAAUUAUUCAUGCUAAAGCCUAGACCGAGAGACAUAUUUUUUUCCGAUCUAGGUUUGAUUUUGGCUAAGGUGAGGGUUUUUCCCGAACUUCUCUUACACGUCUUAGGACCUCGAAUAAGUAUAAUUUAUUUCUAAUGUGUUCCGUCUGUGUGAAAUCGAGUUUGUCAUUGCUUGUUUAGUUUUAGGUUCUUUUCUUAACCGGAACUAGGGUGUUAGAUGGUUCAACAGUGCUUGUUCAUUUAUAACUGAUAAUAUAUACGUGUAUAGUAUAUUGAGGUGAUUAGAACGUUAGCUGACCAUGGAGACGUAAUUCUAUGUGUCGGCCGGAGACCAGUAGAUUUAAUGUGGUGGAUGCUGCGGUACAGCUUAGUCGACCUGUUGUGACAAGGGUUCGAGGUCGAAAAAUCAUCUACGGGUGUGUGUUACCGAACACAUAUUCGGUGUUGUUUUUAGCCUGUUAGUGGGCAGCGAGUGUGCACCUCGCUAUGACUGUUGUUUGAUCUCUGGGUACUUUAGGUAUCGUGUUUGCAACGUGAUAGGAUUAAAUUAUAUUUAUUCGGAGUGCUCUAUCUGGGUCAUGGACUUCGGGUUUAGUAUCUCAUACCUCACUGAGUGACUCCCUAGUUACUCACCCCUCUUUCUGCCCCAUUUCAGGUGAGACUGGCGAGUAUAUGAUAUUUGGUCGGAUUGGUGCUACUGAGCUUUUUAUUUGGGCAAUGUGUUACGAGAUAUUGUUGGUGUACGCUUUUCUCCAGAUAGUAGGUGACGGGUGUCACAGUUAAUCUCCCUCAAUGAAUUAAUUAUGUAAUUGUUUCUCUUAGGGUUAACUAUCUAUAUCCCAGAAGAACUUACUAUAUAGCAUCAAAUAUCUCUCAAACUGUGAUUUC
rnacentral:lncRNA from 1 species